rnacentral:rRNA from 1 species
AUUGAACGCUGGCGGCAGGCCUAACACAUGCAAGUCGAACGGUAACAGGAAGAAGCUUGCUUCUUUGCUGGCGAGUGGCGGACGGGUGAGUAAUGUCUGGGAAACUGCCUGAUGGAGGGGGAUAACUACUGGAAACGGUAGCUAAUACCGCAUAACGUCGCAAGACCAAAGAGGGGGACCUUCGGGCCUCUUGCCAUCGGAUGUGCCCAGAUGGGAUUAGCUAGUAGGUGGGGUAACGGCUCACCUAGGCGACGAUCCCUAGCUGGUCUGAGAGGAUGACCAGCCACACUGGAACUGAGACACGGUCCAGACUCCUACGGGAGGCAGCAGUGGGGAAUAUUGCACAAUGGGCGCAAGCCUGAUGCAGCCAUGCCGCGUGUAUGAAGAAGGCCUUCGGGUUGUAAAGUACUUUCAGCGGGGAGGAAGGGAGUAAAGUUAAUACCUUUGCUCAUUGACGUUACCCGCAGAAGAAGCACCGGCUAACUCCGUG